rnacentral:misc_RNA from 1 species
CUCUUGUUAAAAUCUUUCUUACGGUUCACAAUUCGAUCGCGGUUUUAAGGAAUCGUAGAUUGAAUUUAAUUGUUUUUGCUUUGCACAGUAUCUCUGCUAUGGAGUACUGUUCUCUCUAAUCUUAGUAAUGAUUUCUUCGGCUAGGCAUGAGUUUCUUGAAAGGCAUAAUUGAUUCUCUGGGCUCCGUCCUCUCUUCGUAUAGCUCUGCAUCUCCAGUUGAAGAAGGAAAUCCUAGCUCUGGAACAAUGGAAGGUGUAACUGGGACUUCGAUCACAAAUGAACGCGCUGCAUAUAAGCUCAAGGGGUUCUUCGAUUUGGCCAAAGAAGAGAUUGCCAAGGCCGUAAGGGCCGAAGAAUGGGGUUUGGUUGACGAUGCGAUUGUCCAUUACAAGAACGCCCAACGAAUACUUGUCGAAGCAACUUCAACACCUGUGCCUUCUUAUAUCAGCUUUAGCGAGCAAGAGAAAGUUAAAUCUUAUCGUCAAAAAAUAUCAAAAUGGCAGGGUCAAGUUUCGGACAGAUUGCAAACGUUAAAUCGGCGAGCAGGUUCACAAUUUAUUCUGAAUUACUUGGUUCGUACAUUGUUUUUAAACUGAAUUAUUCAUGGGAGAGUGCUAAUGCUUUCUUUUGGUUGUUCUUCUUAUCCCCACUCGUCACUUUGGUUUUUUUUUUAUCAGCUGGCACAUUCUCAAACAAGGUAUGGCUUGGUUGUUGUAAAUUGCAAAUUUAAAAUUCUUCUCUUACUUUAAGCAUGAUUACGUUUCUAUGGUGCAAUUAGGUGUAAUUGUGUCAUUUUCCAGAUUCAAUCUUUUUUGCAUACUAACAAAUAAUCAUACAGAAAAGUGUUGCUUUCAUUACAUUUAACAUAUGUUAUUUGGUUGGUAGAUUAAUGGGUCUUGGAAUUUUGAAAUCUUUUCCUUUGACACUAGAAACACUAGCACUAGUUUGCAUUAUUGAUGGAAUGGCUUUAAUCAGUUAAUUCUUUUCUAUGUGAAAGAGAUCUCACUCAUAACUUCUAACUAUUAUGGAAUUUAGGUGUUUAGUUUCUUAUGGAUGCCAAAGUUUGUAUAUUUUUUGUUUAAUGACUUAUUAUGACUCUAAAAAAUUCUUUAGACCUUUAUCAGUCUUUGUCCCAAGAAAUAUGUCUCAUCCAAACAGUCAUUGGCAACAUCAAUCCUUCAGGAUAGCCAAAACCAUUAUGUUGCUUGUAUUGGUUAGUUGUUAUACUCUGUAAUUGCUUAAGCAGAGAGAGAAAAGGAGGGGAAAACUUGAAUGACUUUUUUGUUUACCAUUGCAAACCGCAACUUUUUUUUUUCUUAUAAACUGAAUUGGUAGUUUUAUUCAAGUUAGCAUCUCUCGUAUAUAUAGGUAAAGAUCUAUACAUGUAUUAAAAUAGUUGAUUAGACUGAAAUGCUAAAACAUGAGCAUGUUCAACACUUGCCUACUGUUUGUUCUUUGAAAAAAUUCCUUGCAGCCUUGGCAACAAUGUAAUGCAGUUUAUGCAUGUGGAUGGUGGCAAUGUGCCUAUCUUUAAAAAUUGGGUUUAAUGCAAAGAAUGACGAUCAGCUUGAGUAGCAUACUUGAAAUUAUGCCAUUUCUUCCAGUUUGCUUUUUGUUUGAAUAAUUAACUUUUGCAACUCAAAAUCAAAUUCUUUCUUUUUUGGCCUUGAAUAAAGUUUGUGCAAAAUUUGAAACUAUGAAUUACCGACUGGUUUUGAUUAUGUAAUUCUGUAUAUGUUGUUUAUUCCUCAAAAUAUUGCAGAACACCAUAACUCAUGCACAUAGUGCUGCAGUUUCAUCAACAUCAUCAAAUUUUAAACAAGAUCUGUCACAAAAGUCUCCUCGUUCCACUGGAAACAGUCCAAUAAUCAGGAAUCAGACUGAUAAAGCUGCAAGUUCAAAACCUAUUCUAGAUUCUGGUAGCAGUUAUGAUGCAAAAUUGGUUGAAAUGAUUAAUUCUGCAAUAGUGGAUAGAAGUCCUUCUGUGAAAUGGGAUGAUGUUGCUGGGCUUGAGAAAGCAAAACAAAGUCUAAUGGAAAUGGUUAUUUUGCCGACUAAGAGAAGAGACUUGUUCACUGGGAUUCGGAGGCCAGCUAGAGGUCUUCUGCUCUUUGGUCCACCUGGUAAUGGGAAAACGAUGCUUGCCAAAGCAGUUGCUUCAGAGUCACAGGCAACAUUCUUUAAUGUUUCAGCAUCUUCCCUAACAUCAAAAUGGGUGGGAGAGGCUGAAAAGCUUGUUCGGACACUCUUUAUGGUUGCAAUAUCCAGACAGCCAUCAGUAAUUUUCAUGGAUGAAGUAUGCUACUCUUUCUGCAAACUUCAUUGUAUUGUUUAAUUUUAUUAGAAAUCAUGCUUCUCUUGUUUCUUUCUGCUAUACAAUACUCUGUACCUCCUCGUAUAUACGUACCAAGAAUAAUGGAUGCCUAAGUAAAAUAGUUUGUGGGCAUUAGUUUUGGUUGUUGAACAAUUGAUGUUGCAGCUACUAAUUCCUUGUAGCUUGUUGAUAUCAGAACAAUUGAUGUUGCAUCUGCUAAUUCCUUGUAGCUUGGUGAUAUCAAGACUAAUUUUGUCUUUUUUUGUAUCACCCUUGAAAUGUUAAUGAGGGCAAGAGUCAUGAUAUCAUCUGUUCAGAAAAAUUUUGCUACAAUUUUCCACUUCACUUCAGUGUUCCAAUUUCCAACCAAUCGUUGCUUUCUCUUAUCUACAGCUGCUGUAGAUUAAUGAAAUCCUAUCUAAAUUCAAUUGCAAUCUGUGUCUUUGGUGGCAUAGUAACCGCUACCAUCAGCCUCUUAUCGGUGCUUCAACCUCCAUUCUGAAAUAUGUAAUGAUUUCCUUUUCUUGUUUGUUAACAGAUUGAUAGUAUCAUGUCAACAAGGUUGGCCAAUGAGAAUGAUGCAAGUAGAAGGUUGAAAUCUGAGUUUCUAAUACAAUUUGAUGGAGUGACCUCUAAUACUAAUGAUUUAGUAAUUGUUAUUGGUAAGCUUAAUGUAAUCCAAUUAAGGCACAUACCUACUACACCUGGUGUAUCUAUGGAUUUUGCUUUUUAGCUAAUUAUAUUGACAAAGUAAAAUUCGUUGGAUACAUAUGCAUUACUAGUCAGUUAACCUGUCAGUCACAUGUAAUCAAGAGAGCAUGUUAUCCAACUUCUUCUCAUUUGGCUCAACAUAGCCAUCACUCUCUUCAUAUUCUGUUCUUAGAUGGGGCUUACAGAGCUUCACAGAGUGGUCAUUUCAUUAAAUCUCUUAGUUCCAUUGCACCUAGCCAUAAAUACAAUAUGUAGAACAUCUUGUUUGACAUUUCAUAUUUUAACAAGGAAAUUAAAAAAAAAUUGCCAUUGAAGUUUAUGGCAUUAGUAUAUAUAUUGCAAUAUUCUGAAAUUUUUAGAAAUUGUAGUUGACCUUUAUCUGCUCCAAAACAAUUGGACUGGGCAUGCUGGUCAUUAGCUCAUGUUUGUACUGUUGUAACAUGUUUGGAUUUGUUUAUCUGACAUUGUUGUUAAAUUUGGUCCUUUUUGUGUUGAUGCAGGUGCUACAAAUAAGCCACAAGAAUUGGAUGAUGCAGUUCUUAGGAGACUGGUUAGUGUUGUCACUUGACUUUGCAGAAUGCAGUUUAUGCAUGUGCAUGGCGGUCAUGUACCUGUCUUUAAAAAUUGGUUUUAAGUGCAAAGAACGAAUGACGAUCAGCCUGAGUAGCAUACUCAAGAUCAAGUCAUUUCUUCCUGUUUGCAUUAUUCCUUUUUUUUUUUGUAUUAAUUCAAUCAACUUUCACUUCUAGUUAGUUUGUUUGUUAACUUUUGCAACUGAGUGCAAUAUGAAACCCUGAAUCAGGUGAAGAGAAUAUAUGUACCUCUACCAGAUAAAAAUGUUAGGAGGCUUCUUUUGAAACACAAACUCAAGGGCCAAGCAUUUUCCUUACCUGAUGGAGACCUUGAAAGACUUGUCAGAGAGACAGAAGGUAAGAUAAUUAUUACUAUCAUUGCCUUCAAAUACAUUAUUUAUUUGAUGGAAGUGGAUUGGAAUUCUCAUUUAAUAGGAAAUGAUUUUAGCCAAAUGCUGAAGUCAAAUUGAUGAACUUGCACAUGCAUUGGUUGCUUCUUGUAGCCAAUGGAUGUAUGCUACUAAACAGUGAAGGACAAAAUUUAAGUCCAAUCAUCAAUGUUGGAUAAUAGGAAUAAAUCUUUUCAAACUAAAUAUUUGUGAAUCACUUCAACUUUAAUUUAUAGGAUACUCUGGAAGUGAUCUACAAGCUUUGUGUGAAGAAGCUGCAAUGAUGCCAAUUAGAGAGCUUGGCUCGAACAUUCUCACUGUCAAGGCAAAUCAGGUGAUUCAGCUAAGCCUGUCUCUAUUUAUGACUUGGUAAAUAAGUUAAAUAUUAUACUUCUGGAAAAAUGAUAUUUGAUGCUGGCAGAUGAAAAGGUAGGUUUUCCACAGCUUUGGGUACAGCAAUAACUAUUCGGUAAAUAUGGAUUAUGGGAUUUACCCAUUCAUGUUAAAAAGCAAGAUCAUGGCUUUUUAGUUUUUGACCAUGUAGUUGUGGGUUCAAUUAAGUCUUAGCUGCAACACGUGGUUCUAAACCUCACCUCUGUGUGUGGGUCCUAAACCUGUGUGUUUGUAUGUGAGGGAGGGAGAGAGAUCUAAGGAGAUUUUGGGGAUGUUGGUGCCUCUGCGGCAUACCAUCUCCAAUGUUUAAGUUAGUAGCUUAUAGAGAAUAAGAGAAAGGAGAGAAAAGGAGCACUUUAUCUCAGUCUACUUAUUUCAUCCUUGCCUGAGUCGCUAAUACAGCUAUUUUUAUAAUUUAAUUGAAGGUUCAUUAUCAGAAAUCCUUUAGGAAGCAAAACACGCUGCAUAAAUUGAAUCUAUCCUGUCUUUUUCGUUUGAAACAAUUAGUUUGGCAGUGAAGUAGGAGAUCUGUUUACUGUUAUCUUUCUUCAUGGACGGAGAGAGGAAGGAAGUCAGCAAAAUUUUAUUAAAAAACAUAAAUAUUCUUUAAAGAAAAUGUACUAGACAUUGAAAUUAAUUAGUUUUCACAUCCAAUAUCAUCUUAACCUACACCUCUCCCUGUCUCCUGUCUAAAAGCCAUAUUUUAUUUAUAUUCCCAACAAAACAGUAUUCUUUGGUCAUUAUGGUUCUCAAUUUCUAUGAACUGUAAUGUACAUUAGGUUUCCACUUGGAUAGGUAAAUAAUUCGUGGGUAUUACCUAGAACCUCUAUUAAAAAUAAAUAAAACGUUAUUUAUAGCGAUUGACAUUUGUUUUAUCAGGUGAGACGAUUAAAUUAUGAAGACUUUCAGAAGGCAAUGACUGUCAUUAGGCCCAGUUUGAGCAAGAGCAAAUGGGAAGAGCUUGAACGGUGGAAUGAGGAGUUUGGGUCCAACUAAUUGAUUUCUGAUUGCGAAAUGCAACGUCUCAAUUAUUGGAUUUCAUAUAAUCUACAAUUAGAAAAUACACUGCACGCACUACAAGGAAAUCCUUGUGCACAGUUCACAAUCUGAACUAGUUCUUUGUACAUAUGUGGCUUUUGUACUGAAUAUCGUCAUUGAAAGAACUGCUAGCAUUUUCCUUGAAAGAAAGCAUUUGCCCCUGUGCAAAUUUGUAACUAUACUAAUUAAAGAACAAAAUAAGAAAAUCUUUCAUGUGGAGGAGAUGAUUUAAGAAUGAUUGCGAGCGUGCAUAGCUUUUCGUGCACCCCACGACAUCAUAUGGAUAGUGGUAUUGCAAUUUUCCUUCUCAUCCAAUCCUCUACAUCUGGG